UACGUAGGGCGCAAGCGUUAUCCGGAAUUAUUGGGCGUAAAGAGCUCGUAGGCGGUUUGUCGCGUCUGCCGUGAAAGUCCGGGGCUCAACUCCGGAUCUGCGGUGGGUACGGGCAGACUAGAGUGAUGUAGGGGAGACUGGAAUUCCUGGUGUAGCGGUGAAAUGCGUAGAUAUCAGGAGGAACACCGAUGGCGAAGGCAGGUCUCUGGGCAUUAACUGACGCUGAGGAGC
rnacentral:rRNA from 1 species